UACGUAGGUGGCAAGCGUUAUCCGGAUUUAUUGGGUGUAAAGGGCGUGUAGGCGGGAAUGCAAGUCAGAUGUGAAAACUCAGGGCUCAACCCUGAGCCUGCAUUUGAAACUGUGUUUCUUGAGUGCUGGAGAGGCAAUCGGAAUUCCGUGUGUAGCGGUGAAAUGCGUAGAUAUACGGAGGAACACCAGUGGCGGAGGCGGAUUGCUGGACAGUAACUGACGCUGAGGCGCGAAAGCGUGGGGAGCAAACAGG
rnacentral:rRNA from 1 species